GGGAGUCAACUGGUCUGUUACUAUAGAGUGCUGUCCCCUAAUAAGCGAAAUUGAAACUUGCUACUGCGCGGUUUAGCUGUAUGUUUUAUAGUAUUAUUCAGUUAAAUUUUUCAUUCCAUUAACCAUUGUUACUUUGAUGGAGGCUCAAGUUCGUGCUGUUGCUCGGGAGAUCUUGAAUGGAAUUCAGUUGGCUGCUGAUAGCGACUGCAAAUCCCAGUGGCUGGAUGCUGCUGUUUCUCUGAUUGUGGACUCGAAGAACGAAAAAGGACUUCAUCCUUUACUUUGUCAUUAUGAUGACAUUCCUAUUGACCAUUUAAAGACUAUUUACAAAGAACAUCAUUAUUCAAGACUGUGCCGGAAAAUUCUAGACCUUUUAACCAUUGAGUGGAUACAGACUGCAGCAGGUGCUGUUAAUCGACAGAUUGAAACGAUUUUUUUGAGGGGACCACCGACAUACGCUUUGUUAGCCCUUGACCAAGCAUUGUUGUCAAACAGCCAGGGCUUCAGGUUACAGAAGGUCACUGUUUUACUAGAGCAGUUCAUAAAAAAUGACAGACUGAAGCAAGUUCUCUGGGACCAAUGUCACAUAACCAGUUCUUCAAGUGUACAGAGUCCAGCAGACUUUCAUGCUGGAAAAGCAGGCUUGUGGGAUGAGUUAAUUCGCGCUGUAUCAUCACUGCCUGACAAAAUAGCAAAUAAACUUGGCAGAGAAACCAGUGAUAUAUUUUUGCCUCAAAAUUAUGUUCCUCUUCUUGGAAAAUACAUUUUGGAAUGCCUGCAGAGGUGUCAUGACUCCUUGAUGAAAGCUCAGGAUUGCAGUCUAGAAUUCAUCAGUCGCUUGCUUGGAAAACUCUGUCUGAAAGGCUUUGCAGAUAUUCUGUUUGACACACUUGUUCCUCCUCUGUGUGUUUUGGUCAACAAGGAUUACGUAUGGUGUCGUAUUUGUGAGCGACUUAUCACCAAGGUGCCACUGAUGGCUAUGGAGAAUGUAUUAGUGGCAAUUCUCAUGAAAAUCCCUUGGUAUGGCCAUGUUUCAAAGUUUCUCGGAGAUUGUGUUGUAGAAAACCAAAGAGCUUGUGAUUUACUAUGCACAAUACUCCCAUUUCAUCGUUUCUUUUCUCAGGUGCUACUGGUACAAAAUCUUAUAGGCUACCUGGCAUCAUCUCAGACAAGGCGGCAUCUUUAUGCUAAGGUGUUGUGUGAUUUGCUGAAAGUGUGGGGCAAUGCCAGUACUCUUCGACAUGUGUCUGAAGAACAGCAUUUAUUCAUGUGUCGUGUGCUCAUGGUCAGCAUAAGCCAUUUACAGCAGGCUGAUCAAAAACAAAGAAAACAUGAACUGGUUGAACUGCUGUUACCUGGAGUUCAGGCACACUUAAAUUCCACUAAUGUCAACAUUCGUACACGAGGCAUGCUGGUGGCACAGGCAUUGACACGGACAAUUGAUCCUGAAGGGCAGCAGAUAGAGUUUGAGAUCAUCAGAAACAGAGAAGUUGAAGAGCUAGAGAAACUUCUAGUUCUCCCAACAGAUCCAGGUUUAACGGAGAUUGAACAGCAAACAGACAAACAUAAACUGUUGGAAUUUCAAGACCAUCUCACUGAGGAUAACAAGAUGGAUGCACUAAAACAAUCCCCACAGGAUGAAGCAACCUAGACAGCGAUGAUGAUUUAGUUGCAUAUGACAUGUCACAUGACAAACCAGUGACAAAGGUCAAGACUCCAGUCUACAUCCGUGACUGUAUGGAAGGCUUACUAAAAGUAAAAGAUCCAGACACAAUAGAAGCAAGUCUAGUUGCUG
rnacentral:misc_RNA from 1 species